rnacentral:rRNA from 1 species
AAUCAACGCUGGCGGCGUGCCUAACACAUGCAAGUCGAACGCGAAAGUGGAGCAAUCCAUGAGUAGAGUGGCAAACGGGUGAGUAACACGUGGGUGACCUGCCUUAGAGUGGGGGGAUAACGUCCCGAAAGGGACGCUAAUACCGCAUAACAUGCUGCCUUUUAAGAGGUGGACAUCAAAGCCGGGGACCGCAAGGCCUGGCGCUUAAAGAGGGGCCCGCGCCUGAUUAGCUAGUUGGUGGGGUAAUGGCUCACCAAGGCAACGAUCAGUAUCCGGCCUGAGAGGGCGGACGGACACACUGGGACUGAGACACGGCCCAGACUCCUACGGGAGGCAGCAGUGGGGAAUUGUUCGCAAUGGGCGCAAGCCUGACGACGCAACGCCGCGUGGAGGAUGAAGAUCUUCGGGUUGUAAACUCCUUUCGAUCGAGACGAAUGGCCCUUGGGCUAACAUCCUGAGGGAGUGACGGUACCGAGAGAAGAAGCCCCCGGCUAAACUCCGUGCCAGCAGCCGCGGUAA